CUCUGUAGCUCAGUGGUUAGAGCAGGGGAUUCAUAAGCCCAAGGUCGUAGGUUCAACUCCCACCAGAGC
rnacentral:ncRNA from 15 species